rnacentral:rRNA from 1 species
GGGCCCGCACAAGCGGUGGAGCAUGUGGUUUAAUUCGAUGCAACGCGAAAAACCUUACCUACUCUUGACAUACUUGGGAGCUCUUGUAAUGAGAGUGUGCCUUUUGGAACCAAGAUACAGGUGCUGCAUGGCUGUCGUCAGCUCGUGUCGUGAGAUGUUCCGUUAAGUCGGAUAACGAGCGCAACCCUUACCCUUAUUUGCCAGCGAUUCGGUCGGAACUAUAAGGGGACUGCCGGUGAUAAACCGGAGGAAGGUGAGGACGACGUCAAGUCAUCAUGGCCCUUACGAGUAGGGCUACACACGUGCUACAAUGGGGAAUACAGACGGACGCUAAGCCGCGAGGUGGUGCU